UACUGGAAAACAGAGAAUGUUGGCUGAAAGUACUUCAGGGUGGGCCAAGCCUCCCUUCUUCAGUAUAGUUUCAAGCCAUGACAUCAUAAUAGAUAGGGCAGCUGACCACUUCAAAGUGAAGGCUCUUCAAUUUCCAAAUCUCCACCUCUACCUAUUCAGGAUGAGGUAUGAUGAUGCUGAAGAGGAGUGAGGUCAUCUCUACUCGUCAGAAAAGCAGGCCCCGACUUCACCGCUAUCCCGUGAGAAGGCAGGCGUCACUGGGCAGGCAUCACAGGGAGAGACCACACUCUGCACCUUCCUCAACCCCCUGGUAUCUGUUACUAAAGUCCUGAGAUGAUGGGGUCAUCGUCACCUGUUUCAUGGCUUUUGGUACAAACAAGGCUGCUCCUGACCUGUUUCUGUCUUGACCUGGGACCAAGAUGACUCCUGAUCUCCAGAGUCUCCCACACACAUAGCAUAAGCCCCAAAGAGAAAUGCGGAUUAAAUCUACCAGGGGGACCCUGUUUCAGCUGUCAGGGUAGCCAAGAUGAAAACACUUGAUAUCACACUGUGGUUGGCAUCAAACCAACUUUGUAUCUCAUGGUCAGAGCAUUACCUAGCACAAUGUUUUAAAAGAAAGUUUGGCAUCAUAUAUCAAAAUUAUAAAUGCACACACUGUCUCAUUCUAUAACCCCAAUUCCGGAAACGUAUCAGGCAGAUACACUUGCAUUCCUACAGAGCUCUCUAUUGUACAAAGAUGUCCAC